UCCCCGUUAUCCGAGGCAGUCUGCUGUGAAAAAACAACACAGCAUAGGGGUUGCGCUCGUUACCCCACUUAAGGGUACACCUCACGGCACGAGCUGACGACAACCAUGCAGCACCUGUGAUACACCCUCGAAGGAGGCCAACUUUCAUCGGCUUUGCAGUAUCAUGUCAAGCCCUGGUGAGGUUUCUCGCUUACCGUCGAAUUAAACCACAUGCUCCACCGCUUGUGCGGGUCCCCGUCUAUUCCUUUGAGUUUUAGCCUUGCGGCCGUACUCCCCAGGCGGAAUGCUUGACGCGUUAGCUUAUUUGAACGACUCCGGGAGGGUCGAUACUCCCGAAAUCCAGCAUUCAUCGUUUAGGGCACGGACUA
rnacentral:misc_RNA from 1 species